GACGAACGCUGGCGGCGUGCCUAAUACAUGCAAGUCGAACGCUGAAGAGAGGAGCUUGCUCCUCUUGGAUGAGUUGCGAACGGGUGAGUAACGCGUAGGUAACCUGCCUUGUAGCGGGGGAUAACUAUUGGAAACGAUAGCUAAUACCGCAUAACAAUGGAUGACACAUGUCAUUUAUUUGAAAGGGGCAAUUGCUCCACUACAAGAUGGACCUGCGUUGUAUUAGCUAGUAGGUGAGGUAAUGGCUCACCUAGGCGACGAUACAUAGCCGACCUGAGAGGGUGAUCGGCCACACUGGGACUGAGACACGGCCCAGACUCCUACGGGAGGCAGCAGUAGGGAAUCUUCGGCAAUGGGGGCAACCCUGACCGAGCAACGCCGCGUGAGUGAAGAAGGUUUUCGGAUCGUAAAGCUCUGUUGUAAGUCAAGAACGGGUGUGAGAGUGGAAAGUUCACACUGUGACGGUAGCUUACCAGAAAGGGACGGCUAACUACGUG
rnacentral:rRNA from 1 species